GCUUCUCAAAGAUUAAGCCAUGCAUGUCUAAGUAUAAGCAAUUAUACCGUGAAACUGCGAAUGGCUCAUUAAAUCAGUUAUCGUUUAUUUGAUAGUACCUUACUACUUGGAUAACCCGUGGUAAUUCUAGAGCUAAUACAUGCUGAAAACCCCAACUUCGGGAGGGGUGUAUUUAUUAGAUAAAAAACCAACGCCCUUCGGGGCUUCUUGGUGAUUCAUGAUAACUUUACGGAUCGCAUGGCCUUGCGCCGGCGACGGUUCAUUCAAAUUUCUGCCCUAUCAACUUUCGAUGGUAAGGUAUUGGCUUACCAUGGUUUCAACGGGUAACGGGGAAUUAGGGUUCGAUUCCGGAGAGGGAGCCUGAGAAACGGCUACCACAUCCAAGGAAGGCAGCAGGCGCGCAAAUUACCCAAUCCCGACACGGGGAGGUAGUGACAAUAAAUACUGAUACAGGGCUCUUUUGGGUCUUGUAAUUGGAAUGAGUACAAUUUAAACCUCUUAACGAGGAACAAUUGGAGGGCAAGUCUGGUGCCAGCAGCCGCGGUAAUUCCAGCUCCAAUAGCGUAUAUUAAAGUUGUUGCAGUUAAAAAGCUCGUAGUUGAAACUUGGGUCUGGCUGGCAGGUCCGCCUCACCGCGUGUACUUGUCCGGCCGGGCCUUCCUUCUGGAGAACCUCAUGCCCUUCACUGGGCGUGUUGGGGACCAGGACUUUUACUUUGAAAAAAUUAGAGUGUUCAAAGCAGGCCUUUGCUCGAAUACGUUAGCAUGGAAUAAUAGAAUAGGACGUGCGGUCCUAUUUUGUUGGUUUCUAGGACCGCCGUAAUGAUUAAUAGGGACAGUCGGGGGCAUCAGUAUUCAAUUGUCAGAGGUGAAAUUCUUGGAUUUAUUGAAGACUAACUACUGCGAAAGCAUUUGCCAAGGAUGUUUUCAUUAAUCAGUGAACGAAAGUUAGGGGAUCGAAGACGAUCAGAUACCGUCGUAGUCUUAACCGUAAACUAUGCCGACUAGGGAUCGGGCGAUGUUCUUUUUCUGACUCGCUCGGCACCUUACGAGAAAUCAAAGNUUUUGGGUUCUGGGGGGGAGUAUGGUNNNCCGCAAGGCUGAAACUAGAAGAUUAGUUUGCCGCGGGGAGGA
rnacentral:rRNA from 1 species